UGGACGAUGCAAGUUGGGUUGGCGGAACAGCAACUUGAGACCCAACCCAAGCAUUUACAUUUCGGCCCAUGAGUAUAUUUUGACCCAUGAGGCCCAUUAAUGUUAACAUAUCUGGAAAAUUCAGUAAAUGGCUGAUCAUUUUACAUCUAGGAACUUCCAAAAUAUUAGAGAGAGAGAGAGAGAGAGAGAGAGAACUCCUAGGCUAAGAAAAGUCAUUUUGACCAAAAUCGGAGCCUCGAAUUUCAAAGCUCGUGAAGAGAAAAGUGUUGUACGUUGCAUUGCCUUCAUUUUGAGCCAAAAAUCAGCUAAGAAGGAGAGUGGUGACUUGGUUGCUGCAUACUUAAGGUAUAUAUGCUCUUGUACAAGCUAAGAGGAAUUAUUUGACGAAGUGGACUUUGGUUGGUCUAUGGCGUAGAUGAUUUGAACUCCUCGAGUUGUGGUAGAACUUGUUGUGUGGUAAAACGCCAAGGUAAUGCGCGAGAUGAGGUAUGAAGAUGACCAUUUGGAGUAGACUUUUUGGGAGCCCUUGUGAAGAUCACAUCUGCAUAUGCAUCCAGUUUUUGUAAAUUUUUGGGGACUUGUACAUGAUACAUGUGCGGCACUUAUGUAUGAAAUUUUGAAGGCUUGUGGAAAAACAAGACCAUGUGCUUGUAACUUAAACUUGAUGACUGGUUUUGCUAUUUUAGGGUGUGUUUUUAACCCAAGUCAUGCCAUAUACUGAAUUUGUAUUUUGUCUUGUAAUUAUGUACAAAGGAUGAUAAUAGUUUUGUGAAAAUCACUAGUUUGAGUUUUGUGCAUCUUAUGGACCCGUAAUGGUGUUGAUUUGGUAAUAAAAUUUCAAAACGAAGCUUCUUAAAUGUGUUGACUAUUUGAGAAGGGAUUACCAUUUUAAAAUGAUACUCUGCUAUUGUAUUUCAUCUAAGAAAAUUUUCGGAGGGCGCAGUGGGAAAAAAAAAAAUUUAAAAAAUGUCGUACUUCCAAAUUUUUCCGCAUGAGCCUUUUCCGCUAUUAAAUAUAUUUGUGAAUAUAUUUUGGCAUAAGUUCCUUCUAAACGGUGUAAGUGAAAAAUUGGCUUUUGUUCGUAAUAGUGUCCUCCCAAAGGGGGGUGCUACAAGGCAGGUCUUGGUAAGUUGAUGUACUGCAAUCUAGAAAGAUGUGAGUAAGCUUUACUUCAAAUAUACCACACAAGUUGAUAGUGUAGAUAAUAACAUGGCUGAGUGUUUUAACUCUUGGAUAUUGGCUACAAGACACAAAGGUAUAAUUACAAUGCUUGAGGAGAUAAGGGUGAAAAUGAUGAAGAGAGUAGGACCAAUGAGGGAGUUUUGUAAUAGUUGGAUCUGUGAUGUUUCUCCAAUGGCAAUGAAGUUACUAGGAGACAACACAAAGAAGUCCAUGAAGUGUAGUAUUUAAUGGAAUUCUGAUACAGGGUAUGAGGUGCUUCAUGGACAGUAUAGGCAUAUUUUGGAUCUGCCUAGGCAAACUUGUACAUGUAGAGCAUGAAUGUUGAAAGGCAUACCAUGUCCUCAUGCAAGCUUAACCCAGUGGACUACAUUUCUCAUUGGUAUAAAAAAGAAACAUACAUGAAGACAUUCAGCCAGUUCUGAAUAUGAAGAUGUGGCCAGAAUCAACAAAUCCUUUUGUUAUACCACAUGAAGUAAAAAGGUUACCUGGCAGACCCAAGAAAGUAAAGAGGAAAGAAGCUGCAGAAAACUAGAAAAUUAUCCAAAAGGAGAAUUGAGAUGACAUGCAGCAAAUGUCAUACCAAGGGUCAACAAAAGGAGAUGUUUCAGAGAGCCUAAUACUACUGGCCCAAAUUCAAGUAAUGCAACUGUUGGCCCAAAUUCAAAUAAUGCAGCUACUGGCCCAAAUUCAAGUAAUGUUGCUGCUACUGUCUCACAUCCUACAACCCAAAUUCAAGUAAUGCAGCUGCUCCAACUAGUAGAGGAAGGGGUAGACCAAAAGGUUCAAAGAAGAAUAUUGGUAUUAGCAGGCCAAGUAUGGUUGGAAUGGGGGUGCUGCACACACAAAGUGGGCAAACAAUCAUUAAUCCUGGGCUGCUAAGUCAAAGGUUUUGAACUGUUAAGUCUUCAGCAGUGGUAACUGGUGUUCUUGACAUAAGGCAACAUGUGGUGUGAAAUGGUAGGGAAAAGAUGCUAUGACCUCAAGGCAGCUUGGAGAAAUGAUGGGGAAAAUGGCCAAAGUUACACAAUCGAGCCAAGGAAGUUCCACUACUCCAUUAUGACUGCAUUCUGUUGGUGUUACUAUUUCAGCUUUGACUGCAUUGUAAAAAUUAACUUUGAAGGUUUUGGUUUAGGAUUUAGGCUUGUCCUUAGCAGCUGAGACUGCAGUUAAGACUGUUUUUGGGCAGCUGUGAUUGCAUUUAACUUUUUUAAUGUUUUGUACUGAAUUGGCAUAGGUAGGGCAGCUGUGACUGCAUUUAACCUUUUUAGUGUUUUGUACUGAAUUGGCAUAGGUAGGGCAGCUGUGACUGCAUUUAACUUUUUUAGUGUUUUGUACUGAAUUGGCAUAGGUAGGGUCGAUGUGACUGCAUUUAACUUUUUUACUGUUUUGUAUUGAAUUAGCAUACCUGAUGAACUAUCUUUUUCUGAAUGAAAAUGAAUGGUCAA